rnacentral:rRNA from 1 species
GAUGAACGCUGGCGGCGUGCCUAACACAUGCAAGUCGAACGAAAGAUCCGGGUUUCGCGGCCCUUGGGGGCGUACGGCGUGGGAACCUGUACUUGAGCUACCCCUAACUGCGCGAUAGGGGUCCUAAUGGGGGGCUAUUACUUCGGGCCGAAGCUUUAUCGCCUUGGGAUGGGCCCGCGUGAGAUUAGCUGGUUGGUAGGGUAAUGGCCUACCAAGGCGACGAUCGUUAGGUGGUCUGAGAGGAUGAUCAGCCACACUGGGACUGAGACACGGCCCAGACUCCUACGGGAGGCAGCAGUGGGGAAUAUUGGACAAUGGGGGAAAGCCUGAAGCAGCAAUGCCGCGUGAGGGAUGAAGGCCUUAGGGUUGUAAAGCUCUUUUACCCGGGAUGAUAAUGACGGUACCUGGAGAAUAAGCUCCGGCUAACUCCGUG